GUUUCUGUUGCGCAAUGGAUAAUGCAUUGGACUUCAAAUUCAAAGGUCAUGGGUUUGAAUCCCAUCUGGGAUG